CACGUAGGGUGCGAGCGUUGUCCGGAAUUAUUGGGCGUAAAGGGCUCGUAGGCGGUCUGUCACGUCAGGAGUGAAAACUCGGGGCUCAACCCCGAGCCUGCUUCUGAUACGGGCAGACUGGAGGUAUGCAGGGGAGAACGGAAUUCCUGGUGUAGCGGUGAAAUGCGCAGAUAUCAGGAGGAACACCGGUGGCGAAGGCGGUUCUCUGGGCAUUACCUGACGCUGAGGAGCGAAAGUGUGGGGAGCAAACAGG
rnacentral:rRNA from 1 species